GCGGCAUGCUUACACUGCAAGUCGAACGGCAGCGGGGGAAGCUUGCUUUCCGCCGGCGAGUGGCGAACGGGUGAGUAAUACAUCGGAACGUGCCCUGUAGUGGGGGAUAACUAGUCGAAAGAUUAGCUAAUACCGCAUACGACUGAGGGUGAAAGUGGGGGACCGCAAGGCCUCAUGCUAUAGGAGCGGCCGAUGUCUGAUAGCUAGUUGGUGGGGUAAAGGCCCACCAGGCGACGAUCAGUAGCUGGUCUGAGAGGACGAUCAGCCACACUGGGACUGAGACACGGCCCAGACUCCUACGGGAGGCAGCAGUGGGGAAUUUUGGACAAUGGGCGAAAGCCUGAUCCAGCAAUGCCGCGUGUGUGAAGAAGGCCUUCGGGUUGUAAAGCACUUUUGUCCGGAAAGAAAUGGCUCUGGUUAAUACCUGGGGUCGAUGACGGUACCGGAAGAAUAAGGACCGGCUAACUACGUGCCAGCAGCCGCGGUAAUACGUAGGGUCCAAGCGUUAAUCGGAAUUACUGGGCGUAAAGCGUGCGCAGGCGGUUGUGCAAGACCGAUGUGAAAUCCCCGAGCUUAACUUGGGAAUUGCAUUGGUGACUGCACGGCUAGAGUGUGUCAGAGGGGGGUAGAAUUCCACGUGUAGCAGUGAAAUGCGUAGAGAUGUGGAGGAAUACCGAUGGCGAAGGCAGCCCCCUGGGAUAACACUGACGCUCAUGCACGAAAGCGUGGGGAGCAAACAGGAUUAGAUACCCUGGUAGUCCACGCCCUAAACGAUGUCAACUAGUUGUUGGGGAUUCAUUUCCUUAGUAACGUAGCUAACGCGUGAAGUUGACCGCCUGGGGAGUACGGUCGCAAGAUUAAAACUCAAAGGAAUUGACGGGGACCCGCACAAGCGGUGGAUGAUGUGGAUUAAUUCGAUGCAACGCGAAAAACCUUACCUACCCUUGACAUGCCACUAACGAAGCAGAGAUGCAUUAGGUGCUCGAAAGAGAAAGUGGACACAGGU
rnacentral:rRNA from 1 species